GACGAACGCUGGCGGCGUGCCUAAUACAUGCAAGUCGAGCGGACAGAUGGGAGCUUGCUCCCUGAUGUUAGCGGCGGACGGGUGAGUAACACGUGGGUAACCUGCCUGUAAGACUGGGAUAACUCCGGGAAACCGGGGCUAAUACCGGAUGCUUGUUUGAACCGCAUGGUUCAAACAUAAAAGGUGGCUUCGGCUACCACUUACAGAUGGACCCGCGGCGCAUUAGCUAGUUGGUGAGGUAACGGCUCACCAAGGCGACGAUGCGUAGCCGACCUGAGAGGGUGAUCGGCCACACUGGGACUGAGACACGGCCCAGACUCCUACGGGAGGCAGCAGUAGGGAAUCUUCCGCAAUGGACGAAAGUCUGACGGAGCAACGCCGCGUGAGUGAUGAAGGUUUUCGGAUCGUAAAGCUCUGCUGUUAGGGAAGAACAAGUGCCGUUCAAAUAGGGCGGCACCUUGACGGUACCUAACCAGAAAGCCACGGCUAACUACGUGCCAGCAGCCGCGGUAAUACGUAGGUGGCAAGCGUUGUCCGGAAUUAUUGGGCGUAAAGGGCUCGCAGGCGGUUUCUUAAGUCUGAUGUGAAAGCCCCCGGCUCAACCGGGGAGGGUCAUUGGAAACUGGGGAACUUGAGUGCAGAAGAGGAGAGUGGAAUUCCACGUGUAGCGGUGAAAUGCGUAGAGAUGUGGAGGAACACCAGUGGCGAAGGCGACUCUCUGGUCUGUAACUGACGCUGAGGAGCGAAAGCGUGGGGAGCGAACAGGAUUAGAUACCCUGGUAGUCCACGCCGUAAACGAUGAGUGCUAAGUGUUAGGGGGUUUCCGCCCCUUAGUGCUGCAGCUAACGCAUUAAGCACUCCGCCUGGGGAGUACGGUCGCAAGACUGAAACUCAAAGGAAUUGACGGGGGCCCGCACAAGCGGUGGAGCAUGUGGUCUAAUUCGAAGCAACGCGAAGAACCUUACCAGGUCUUGACAUCCUCUGACAAUCCUAGAGAUAGGACGUCCCCUUCGGGGGCAGAGUGACAGGUGGUGCAUGGUUGUCGUCAGCUCGUGUCGUGAGAUGUUGGGUUAAGUCCCGCAACGAGCGCAACCCUUGAUCUUAGUUGCCAGCAUUUAGUUGGGCACUCUAAGGUGACUGCCGGUGACAAACCGGAGGAAGGUGGGGAUGACGUCAAAUCAUCAUGCCCCUUAUGACCUGGGCUACACACGUGCUACAAUGGGCAGAACAAAGGGCAGCGAAACCGCGAGGUUAAGCCAAUCCCACAAAUCUGUUCUCAGUUCGGAUCGCAGUCUGCAACUCGACUGCGUGAAGCUGGAAUCGCUAGUAAUCGCGGAUCAGCAUGCCGCGGUGAAUACGUUCCCGGGCCUUGUACACACCGCCCGUCACACCACGAGAGUUUGUAACACCCGAAGUCGGUGAGGUAACCUUUUUGGAGCCAGCCGCCGAAGGUGGGACAGAUGAUUGGGGUG
rnacentral:rRNA from 1 species